rnacentral:lncRNA from 1 species
UAGCUGAAUGGAGACAGAAACAAAGUUCCUUUGGGACCCAUUCUUAAUUCCUCAAAGCCACAGGUCUCUUUCAAUUUCAUAUCUACUUUUUCAAAUACAAGACACAAACCCACUUGUCUUCUUUUUCUUCUUCUUCUUCUUUCAACUCCAUAUUUUCCAACAUCAAAGAACAGUAAUGCUCCGCUGCAACAACAAUGGAUAAUACUAACUUCCCUUAUGAUCAUCAUC